rnacentral:rRNA from 1 species
CACAAGCGGUGGAUGAUGUGGAUUAAUUCGAUGCAACGACGAAAACCUUACCUACCCUUGACAUGUCCGGAAUCCCGAAGAGAUUUGGGAGUGCUCGCAAGAGAACCGGAACACAGGUGCUGCAUGGCUGUCGUCAGCUCGUGUCGUGAGAUGUUGGGUUAAGUCCCGCAACGAGCGCAACCCUUGUCAUUAGUUGCCAUCAUUUGGUUGGGCACUCUAAUGAGACUGCCGGUGACAAACCGGAGGAAGGUGGGGAUGACGUCAAGUCCUCAUGGCCCUUAUGGGUAGGGCUUCACACGUCAUACAAUGGUCGGUACAGAGGGUUGCCAACCCGCGAGGGGGAGCUAAUCCCACAAAGCCGAUCGUAGUCCGGAUCGCAGUCUGCAACUCGACUGCGUGAAGUCGGAAUCGCUAGUAAUCGUGGAUCAGCAUGUCACGGUGAAUACGUUCCCGGGUCUU